rnacentral:lncRNA from 1 species
ACCCCUGCCUCCGGUAAAACUCCUACCACCACGGCCAGCGUCAGAACUUCUAAUACCGCCGCGACCAUGGCCUCCAUCAAAAGUCCUACUACCGCCACCACCUCUGCCACCAUCUGAACUCCUGCUGCCGCCUGUCCUACCUCCGCCACGACCGGAGUCAUAAGCACGCCUCCCUCCAUCACCUGUACCUCGCCCACCUUCUCGGCCCCUAGCACCACCACCACCACGACCUCGAUCUCCAUCGCCUCUUCUAUUUCCAAGAUCACCAUUAGCCAUUCUUCCACCGAACUCUCCACCACUACCUUUCCCUCCACUAAACCCCCUUCCUACUCCGCCACCGCCACCGCCACCCCGGCCAAUCUCAAACCUUCCGGAACCAGGCUGAAAAGGCGGGUAAGCGUUGAAACCCCCUCCGCCAGGCACAGAUCCGGAAACAUCCCCACCUCCUCUUCCGCCGUUAGGGAAAGAAACCGAAGGUCCUCCGUAGGAAGCCGGCCCACCCCGUCCGUAGGUCGGGCUGGGCCCACCGACUACACCGCCCAUCAUCGGCGGAGGUGCUACGGGAGGCGG